rnacentral:rRNA from 1 species
GAUGAACGCUAGCGGCAGGCCUAAUACAUGCAAGUCGAACGAGAUUAAGAGGCUUGCUUCUUAUGAAAGUGGCGCACGGGUGCGUAACGCGUAUGCAACCUACCUUAAUCAGGGGGAUAGCCCGAAGAAAUUCGGAUUAAGACCGCAUAAAAACACAGGAUAGCAUUAUCGAAUGUUCAAAUAUUUAGAGGAUUAAGAUGGGCAUGCGUGUCAUUAGCUAGUCGGCGGGGUAACGGCCCACCAAGGCGACGAUGACGAGGGGAUCUGAGGGGAGGACCCCCCACACUGGUACUGAGGCACGUACCAGACUCCUACGGGCGGCAGCAGUAAGGAAUAUUGCUCAAUGGAGGGUACUCUGAACCAGCCAUGCCGCGUGCAGGAAGACCGCCCUCUGGGUCGUAAACUGCUUUUAUUCGGGAAUUAUCCUUUCUACGUGUAGGAAGCUGACUGUACCGAAUGAAUAAGCAUCGGCUAACUCCGUG